rnacentral:RNase_P_RNA from 1 species
AGAGAAGGCCAAGGGGUCGCGGAGGAUGAUCCACUAGGAUUUUCCUCUGAGGAAAGUCCGGACUCCAUAGGGCAGAUCACUGGGGAAAUCCCAGCGGGGGCGACCUCAGGGAGAGUGCAGCAGAGAGCAGACCGCCGAUGGCCCACGGCUGCUGGCCUUCGGGCACAGGCAAGGGUGAAACGGUGGUGUAAGAGACCACCAGCGAUUCGGGUGACCGGGUCGGCUCGGUAAACCCUGAUCGGAGCAAGGCCAAGUAAGAGGGCGCACGAGGACGGCCCGUCCGAGCCCUCGGGUAGGCCGCAUCAGUUGAAUGACCCCUCACGACAGAAUCCGGCUUACCGGCCUUCUCUUCCU